GUGUGCAGAUUCGCAGCACGUGUUACCUUAGACCACAUGUUACGAACUGCGUUCUUUUCCUAGUGGCAGUGCCGCUAGCUCAGGCUUUUCUCAGGGCAGAGUUUCCCUCGUGCCCCACAGCUCGCACCAUAAGCAUCGAUAACUAUCGACGUCUCACGACUCUACAUACUUGCGAUCUCUAAUAAGCAGACAAACCGAAAAAUGUAAACAAACGAAUUAAAUUAACAUAAACGACAAAAUGUUUAGGUUUUGGUGGUCGCAGAUGUUAGGACCAUGCGCGCCCACCCGACCUAGGAUGCACGAAGGAUUGUGGCGGGCAUCACCCAUUAUCAACACGUCGGUCUCGCUCCAGUCGACUAGGACAGCUCCACAUCCCCUACAGUGAAGCAUUCCGGCAGCGAUCACCCUUGAUCUUCGACUGAUUUGAAAUGGCCAAAGCAACAAGUUUGGGAAUCCUCUAUGGGCUACAAAUCACCGCGGAAACUUGGCCCGCAAUGUGCUUUUUAAAAGGGCACUACUAUGAACGUAUACACAUACGUAGGGUGUGACAAAUAUUGUAUUGAGUGACAAAUUCAGCACCAACGGUUGACGGCCGUUGAAAUAAUUGUGGCGGUCGAAGACUUCAGACUAGCCAAGGAAUCUACAGAAGUCAAGGGAGGUUGCCCUGGAAGAAUCCUGAUCCAAAGAACGUGGCCCUCCCUGAACUGACUCACCGGCGGUUAGGGAUCGCCUCGGGGCAGAUGGUGACUCCUUAGUGUAGUUGAAAAGUAAGUUUCAAAAAUACAGAUGAAGUUUCGGCGGCGAAGCAGACUGGCUUCACGAAAUAAUUAUUUUCCUGACUUCCAAUGCAAUAUUGCCCGGCGCCCUAUUGCGCCAUAUUCCUAAUCCUCUCACGACUUGGGCUAUUAGACAUAACCCGGGCCAUUUAAGAGUAAUUCCAGAGCGAUCUGGGAUAAUUCAAACGGCCAGAUCGCUCAACAGGAUUCCCAAAGGGGCGGGCCACCCAAAAUCAUCACCCAAUCGCUGUAUCGAUAGAUAAGGCCUUAUCAUCGACUCCGCACGGGUCCAACUGCAACAUACUAAUACUUUUUGAAAUACUUGAGCCAUAAUCAUUUUUAGACUAAUGCUAUUUUUUGCUGUUAGGGUAUGUAUUAUUAUACCCGCUAAUCGUAGAUUAAAAGGUUCGUUGGAAAUUAUGUAUGCAGGUGGAAGGAAGCGUUUCUAACCAUAUGAACCAUAUAUACAUAUAUUCCUAUAAGGAUCCCGAGCCGAGUCGAUUUGACCUUGUCCGUCCGUCUCUCCAUCCGUAUGGAUGUCGAGAUCUUACGGAUGAACACAAAAGCUAGAGGGCAUUCAGAUGCAUUAAUGCAUGAUUAAGCACGCGGAUAUCAGAUACAUAGUCGCUACGCUAACGCCCACAAACCACCGAGACAUUUUUAAAAAAAGGUUUUAAUAUUUUUUUAUUUUUUGCUUUUCAUUUGUAAUUGUUCUGGCCAAUUUCUAUCGGUCUUACAAAAAAUUUUGGCCAAGCCUCAACAAUGCCGUUAGCUUUUGUUAUAUUUUACUCUUCUUAUCUACAACAAACUUUAAAUGUUGCCAAUUGUAUUGUAACCCAAUCUUCGCUCCUAAAAUACAUUAUAAAUUGUUGGAAAUGUACAGUAAUAAAACUUAAUCGAGCU